UCCCGUUUAACACGGGCAGUCUCCUAUGAGUCCCCGACAUAACUCGCUGGUAACAUAGGACAAGGGUUGCGCUCGUUGCGGGACUUAACCCAACAUCUCACGACACGAGCUGACGACAGCCAUGCACCACCUGUUAUGGGCCCUUUCGGACACCACAUCUCUGUGGCUUUUCCCAUAAUGUCAAACCCAGGUAAGGUUCUUCGGGUCGCAUCGAAUUAAGCCGCAUGCUCCGCCGCUUGUGCGGGGACCCGUCAAUUCCUUUGAGUUUUAGCCUUGCGGCCGUACUCCCCAGGCGGGAUGCUUAAUGCGUUAGCUUCGGCACGGACGGAGUCGACACCGCCCACACCUAGCAUCCAUCGUUUACGGCGUGGACUAC
rnacentral:misc_RNA from 1 species